rnacentral:rRNA from 1 species
GCACCUACCGACCUUAGUUGCCAGCAUUCAGUUGGGCACUCUAAGGUGACUGCCGGCUAAAAGUCGGAGGAAGGUGGGGAUGACGUCAAAUCAUCAUGCCCCUUAUGACCUGGGCUACACACGUGCUACAAUGGGCGGUACAAAGGGUCGCGAACCCGCGAGGGGGAGCCAAUCCCAAAAAGCCGCUCUCAGUUCGGAUUGCAGGCUGCAACUCGCCUGCAUGAAGCCGGAAUCGCUAGUAAUCGCGGAUCAGCAUGCCGCGGUGAAUACGUUCCCGGGCCUU